UACGUAGGGUGCGAGCGUUGUCCGGAAUUAUUGGGCGUAAAGGGCUCGUAGGCGGUUUGUCGCGUCGGGAGUGAAAUCAUCUGGCUUAACUGGGUGCUUGCUUUCGAUACGGGCAGACUAGAGGUAUGCAGGGGAGAACGGAAUUCCUGGUGUAGCGGUGAAAUGCGCAGAUAUCAGGAGGAACACCAGCGGCGAAGGCGGCGCUCUGGGCCGGAACUGACGCUGAGGAGCGAAAGCGUGGGUAGCAAACAGG
rnacentral:rRNA from 1 species